UUUUACAGAUAAAAAAUAGUACAAUAGUCACAAUCUCAUAACUUUAAAACUAUUUGAAUUUCUUUAAAUUAAAGAAAAAUAUUUUCCCAUUUUUUCAGAUAUAGAAAAUAGCCGUACUAAAAAUGCGAUCAAAUAAAGAAUCAGUACCGAAAUUAUUUUCACGAAUACCAAGUACAUCGAAUUCGCUUUUAAUGAAAUCGACCACUUCUGAUAGAAUUCGUAAACCAACGAUACUUGUCACAAAACCAAGGGAAUCGUUACUUGAAAAGAGACAAACGAUGCGUAUUACCGAUAAUGGUGAAGAUGUUACGCCAAAAUUAUUAAUACACAAGGAAUAUGAAGAGAGACAAUUGCGUACAAUUGAUAUGGAUAGUUCACUACCAAGUAGUAAUUCACUAUUCAAUACCUCAUCAUCCGUAAUAGGAUUACUUCGUUCUGGUUCUUAUACUGUUUCGUCUUCACUUCAAGUUGCAUUACUUGGAAGUGAAGAAAUCCACAUGGAUAGUCUACUUUCGACCGAAAGAGUCGAUGAAUUAGAUUCUGAAAAUGGAAGAGUACCAUCGGAAUUUCAUUUAGAUGGGGUAGAAUCAAAUUCAUUUGACGCCAAACCGGAGAAAAUGACAAUUACACUAAAAGAAACAGAGACAUUUUUCAUUUUUGAGAUGCCACAAUUAACUGCAGAUAAAACAACAGAAGAAGGUGCUGCCGUGGAAGCUGCGAAUGAAAGAUAUAAAUUUAUCACAAUUGGUGCAGGAUCCAAUCGAAAACUCGCUGAAGCCGAGACACAAACACCACAAAUUCAUACAAAAUCACAAGGAACAUAUAUUGGAAGACACACGCGUCGUAAUCAACGAACUUAUGUCAGUAAUUGGGAAAUGUUCGACACUUAUCAACAAUUGGAUAAAAUGGAAGAAAUUAACGGAAUGUUGUAUCCCCAAAAAUUGAAUUCUAAAACUCAUCAAAAAUUUGAAAACAAUGACAAUGCUGAACUAUCAGAUGAAUUGCUCCAUAUUUAUAACAACACCUCAUUUCGAGAAGCAUUGCGUGUCAUGUUGAGAAUACUAGCGAGUAAUUUAUACAUAACAGCACAAAAACGAUUUACAGGUCUCAUAAAACAGGAUCCUUACGCAAUGGAUCUUCAGUUUACGUAUAGUUUAGAUCUCCUUUGGGUGUAUUCAACAAAAGAGGUGAUUGGCCGAGCUGUAACAUGCUUCCGUUGGAGUUAUGAGAAUUCAAGUAUUCUUGCCGUUGGUUAUGAUUCAUGUUCACGAUAUCCAAAUAUUAAAGACGGUCUUGUUUUAAUUUGGUGUGCAAAAAAUCCAAGUCACUAUGGCCGUAAAUAUAAAUUUAAUUCACCAAUAUCAAGUCUCAAUUGGAGUAGAAGAAAGCCAAAUUUACUUGCCAUUGGUUUUUAUAAUGGAACAAUAAAUGUCAUUGAUGUGAGCAGUAAAGAUUUAUUAAUAGUUCGUCAAAGUCAAUUGGAAUCGUCACCAACGUUUGAGCCACAUUGGCAAAUUGAUUGGUGGUUAGAGAAUGAUCAUUUAGAGCAAGAGGAAUCAAUAUUCACUUCAAAUCAAGAUGGACGAGUUUAUUGUUAUCGUACCGGGGAAGAUUUUACCAGUACGGAAAUAAUGAAAAUACCAAGAAUCGAGGGUAAAAUAGAAGGUGUUAAACGAACAAUUUAUCGAAUUUCAAAUGAUGUUCCAAUUAGUCGAAAUCCAGCUGCAUUGAUACUUCGUAAGCAUCCAACAUUAGCGACAAUCUAUUUUAUCGGUACAGAUGAAGGUGGAAUUUAUCGAUGUUCAACAAAUUAUUUAUAUCAACAUAUUGAAUGUUUCGUCGCACACAAUGGAUCAGUUAAUGCAAUGGAAUUUUCUCCACAUUGUUCAAAAAUAUUUCUCACAGCUGGUGCCGAUUGGUGUACAAGAAUUUGGGUCGAAGGAAUUACAGAACCUCUUAUAACACUCACAACGGAAAUGUCCUGGGUUAGAUGUGCCGCAUGGUGUCCAACAAAUUCAACAAUUAUUGCCACAAUUGUCAAAAAUGAAAUUUGCCUUUGGGAUAUUAAGAGAAAAAUUUAUAAACCAACAUCAAUAACAGUAUUGCCAAGGGAUUGUACUCUACUUAUGAUUGAAUUUACAAAAAAUGGAAAUCAAUUGGUAGCUGCUGAUAAUAAAGGAGCGAUCUAUAUUUAUAAUCUCGAGGGUAUGCCAUUCCCUCCGUUCAAUCAGGUUCAGAUUUUAAUGACUUCGAUCGAAAAAGCUCUUGUCACGAAACCGUCGCUUUUUAAAAAAUUUAAGAAACUUGAUAUUACGUAAAAUGUUUUUUUGUAAUCAUUUAUCAAAUGUCAUUUGGAUAAAAAGUGCUUUGAUGAAGGAAGGAAGUAUAUACAAUAUAUAUAUAUAUAUAUAUACAAGAGAAUGCCCAGUUCUAUCCUAUAUGGGUAGAGGGGCUUCUCUCUUCUGUUGCCACUGCUCGCGGGCACGAUCUUCGCUACUGCAGUCAACAAGCAGUCUUAUUACGUCCGCACUCAAAUACGCGAACUAAGUACACACAUCUUAAAGACGGUCAUUUUAAUAAUAGUUUCGUCAAGAUCAUUUUAAUAAGAUGUUAUUAACAGAAUCUCAACUUUGACAUUGUACAACGUGACAAUUUAUAUAUGUCAUUUAUUUUUUCUGUAAAUUAAAAUUCUGUAUUAAAAAUAUUAUGUUUUUAUUAAAUAUUUUCUUUGUACUUUUCUAUCAGUGUUAAUUUACAAUGUGUACUGUCGAUGACUGAUGCCCUUCCGGUUCAGAGGUUAACUUGGGACGUUCCGGAAUGAUAUUCGCUAGACUGUGCAGACAAGCUUCUAUUGUGCGAAUUUCCGAUUGAAUGAACUUUGAACCUGAAAGUUAUGACGGGAAUCUGAAAUCCUUUUGCGAACUGGCCCUGUAAUCAUUAACAAGUUGGAGGUUCCAACACCCAUAUAACAACUGAGAUUUGAAAAGAUCAAGCCAACAGUCCAGAGGAAGCGAGACGACAAAUUUUCAAGUUGUUCAAGCGGGAUCUGGACCAACAAACGAAGGUCAACUCGUACAAUCAAAUGAAGACAGAAUUUCCUACAAGACAAAAGCUACAAAAGAGAAACGACAAAAGCUCAAGAGAAAAUUUUUCGAUUUUUAAAAAUGAAGAACUACAACCUGUAUUCUACAACAAAAAAUUUUUGUAAUCAACAUUAAUUAUUGAAAAAUUACAGAGAAUGGGUGUCCGGUGCAGGCGGUGGACCUGGUGGCGGAUUGUCCGCCACCAGCAGUGACACCGCCAUCCUCGCCAUCUUUAUCGUCAAGAUUACAAGAAUCUUUACAAUC